AGUGACGCGGAGACAUUUAUCUCAGCAGAUGAAUUUAGAAUCAAUUUAUGGAAGCUUGAGGUCAGUGAUCGGAAUUUCAAUAUCAUCGACAUGACGCCGUCAAACGUGGAGGAUGAUGCUUUUGAGAUAAUAACAUCAGCUGAAUUCCAUCCAGUACACUGCAACCUCCUAGCAGAUGGCAGCUCCAAAGGUGUGAUUCGUAAAUCUGACUUGUGACAAGCAGCAAGAUGUGACCGUAGUGUUAGACUUCCUCAUUCAGCUUGAUUAUACGGAUUUGUUGAUCGAACACUCUUCCCCAUGAAAUCCCCUUUUGAGGAAAUGGCUGCAUGCAUUUCCAAUGUAAAAUUUAUGCGUGAUGGCACUGGUGGGCAGCAGCUUACAAGUCGUGAUUACAUGAAUGUGAAGCUUUGGGACAUGCGCAUGGAUUCUCGUCCACUUGCAGCAUUUAGAAUUCAUGAGCACCCGCGCCCUAGACUAGCCGAGUUAUACUGUAAGGACCACAUAUUCGAUCAAUUUGACUGCUGCUUUCGUAGAGAUGGACUUCGUUUUGCAACUGGUUCUUACGGGUCUGCCUUUCUGAAAUAGUGCAAAUUUAUCUCCAAGGUUAUUGUUAAUAACUUGUUUGUCUGUCCUGAUCUCUGUAUCUGCUAAGUUCUCAGUAAUCUCUUGAAAAUAUACUCCAUCGAGAGUAGAAG